AUGAUUUUUAACUGCGCACAAGCGUCGUCUGAAAUUUUAGUGAACAACAACAAAAUGUUUCUUGUUUGAAGAUGUAGAAACGGCGUUAAAACCGUUAAAGAUUGGUACGGGCUGUCAAAGUGUGCCGAAAAGUAAACUCUCGCGGACCUUUACGAUCAGUUUAUAGGCGGUUCGUAUGAUCAAGCCCCAUCGUUGAAAGUUGACCACCAGAAAAUCGUCUGUGCCUUCGUCGGCCGAAACAAAUUAGACUUGACACAGGUGUCACCGGAUGUGACAGUUAGUCAAGCAGUCGGCUGUCUUGGAAAUUUCAUAGACUUUAGUAUUGGGGACACCCCUGAAACUUUCUAUAAAUCUCCACUAGGUACAUUGGAAAGAAAAGAUGCUUUCACUUUGCUAAUGUCAGAAGCUAACAAGGCAAAACACUUGCCACCAGACAAGGCACCAAUUAAUGCAAAAGCCAGACUUUUUAAUGACAUUCUUACAUGACUGAAAGAUAGGAUUUAUGUGCGUUAAUGCCCCAGUACUCGAAGGUAAUCUAGUCAACUGUCUCUCUGAAAUUCUAUGGUAUAUUGACGGUUAUCAUGACACCUUAGCAAGGAGAGCUUGUGGUGUUCCAGAUCAGCUUGCACAUUUUCAAAACUACUACAAGCCUGUUGAUAGGAAGCAUAAAGAGGUGGACAAAACAAAUUUGAAAGAGGAAGUUUUAAGAAACCAUGCUACGACUUUGCUGCUGCUCUGUGAGGAUAGCUUUCUAAAUCGUGAAAUAUGGACUUCUGUCUGUCAGUUACUGGUGAAGCUUGGAGAGUCACUUAUGAACUAUUCAGAAUAUCUGGUUGAACAGAAAAGUAACGUAGAAACCAAGGUUCCAAAGCUAGCAUCCGACAGAGAACACUACGAAGUUUUAUCACAGAAACAUCAUAUUACUCCUGGGUCACAUAGCAGGUAGCAAGCUCUGCAUACCGCUGUGAUCGCCAGUGACCCAUAUGAGAAGGUUUGUCUGAAUGACUUCGCACUGGAUGACCCAAGACGCAGGUUUGACUACAUUAAAAAACUUGUUGUGCUAGUAAAAUGUAAAAUCACCUACACCGGAAGCAAGGAACACUUGGUUUUCUUAUGGAAACUAGACAGUAGUCACACUGAAGGUGAAAUUCUAGCUAAAAACAUGGAGCUGUCAGCAGAAAUACAUAAACAAUUACCGGUGUAUCAUACCAGGGCUAUGAGGAGAGAAUUUUACAGUUUGUUUGGUCAACAGAUGAGUGAUAAGGCUGGCUUUUUGAGAGAGGCAUACAGACGUCUUACUGGUGAUUGUUCUGCCAGUGUAAAUUAUGAACAGGGUGAAGUUGAUAAAAAAAAUACUUAUAUUCUAGAAAUGGAAGAUCCAGACAUUAUAGACUAUCCCAGAAUCGAUAAAUUGACCGCCGCCAUAUUGGCUGUCACAUGACCCGCUUCUGAAAACGCUACUGAAGAAUUUGGCAGAUUACAGCGUAAUCAUCGUGUACACCCGCUUUAUUCCAAUAAACAGUACUUAAUGACUUCGCACAGUAGGUUUGAAAACACUUGAAACAUGAAACCACGUGUUGAUUUGUUAAACAUCGUUAAUCAAUAUAAGUUAAAUAAGAAAUGUGCACAAUAGAUUUAUAAAAUAUGUGUCUCUGCAACAAUAUUCAGUGACAGCAAGUAAUGUUUAAGGCCAAGUUUGCUUUUUUAAGCAUACCUUUCAGUAAUGCCUUUGUAUUAAAUUUAAUGAUUUCUUUUAAUAUGGAAUAAAAUUAUUCAAUGAAAAUUAUCAAGUUUAUAGAAAUAUCUAAAGUCUGAAGUCAACGUUGUGAUCUUAGCGUAAAUAGUGCCGAAAAAAUUAUUUGGCUAAAUUUUGAAAGAUUUCAGACCGAGGUAGACAAUUUUAUUGAAAAGUAGAUAUCUGCCUUUGUUAAGCCUGUAUUAUUUCUUACAAAUUGCCGUACUUCGAUAGUUCCGGAGAUACUCAAUAAGAAACUGUGUAGGAUUAAAGACCGAGACCGACUGUUUUUUAUUGAAUUGUACAUAUUUUUGUUUGUCUUAACAUUUCCAUUUUGUUAUUUAUAUUUCCUUUGUAAGUGUCAUUUAAAGGUAAUGUAAAAAUGUAUAGCCGAAAUGAAGUUUGAGAUUCUAAAAUUGGUCCGCAAAUAUUAGCGAACCUGUGUAAUAUUUCAGGCAGAGGCAAACUUUUAAACUAAAUGUAUGUAUCUGUUUGAGUCUUAAACUAAAGUGCUUUUUAGAAAUUUCUUUUAUUUAAAAAUCUCUCUCAAGCUAUAAAAAAAAAUCACUAGCCGGAUAUCAAUUUUGUGAACAAGAACCGGAGCUAUUCAUUUGCAAAACUGUGUAAGAUGUCAGAACAUGGCAUACUUUUUUUAUUCAAAAAGGACAUACCAGCUUUUGCCUAUAACUUUCUUAUAUUAUUAUUUAAAUAACGUUAAACAUGUUAUAUCAACGUUUAUAGUCUGAACAAAAAUUGUUUAGGCUGUUCUCAAUAUUUUCUAAACUGAUUUCAUUAUUUAUUAAAUUUUCUUAAUAACAUCUAAAUUCAUGAUUAACAUGUUCAACAUGAAAAAUAUGGAGCCUUAAAUAAACUUGAAUAAUUCCAA